AUGAUAGCGGAUUCUACACACAAGAGACACGGACCACUCUGUGCACAACGCAUAGGCUAUUUCAAGUGGAGAGAAAAUAGAUAGUUGAAUAUACAUAUUCACGUAGCCUUUCGAAAACCGGGACAUUUAGUGUCCCGGGAGAGUGGAUAAAUUUCCCGGGACAAGUUAUUAAAAAGAAGGACAAUCCCGGUAAAACCGGGACAGGUGGCAACACUAGUCACUACAACUGGUCUGCUGACACUGCUCGAGGAAAAGGCCCCUACAAUCUUGAGAGAACAUGAAGACACAAAGACAUUGUCAAUUUCUUUGAGAAAGUUACUUGUUAAAGUGGCUGUGAGUGACCUUGUAGAAAAGCAUGGAUUCUAUCCAUCUGGUACAGAAAAGCUGGCACUGGCAAAGGAGAUUGUGUCACUGUUCCCCUCAUUAAGGAUUAAUGUCCCAUUUGGCGAAAAUGAAGGACAUGAGCAUUUUUUUGAUGGGCCAUCACACAGUGGAUUUAUAGAAAUGAGACUACGGAACAUCAGACGGAAACUUCAACAGAGCCAGCGGAUCUACAAUUUGAAACGACGUCUUCCUACAGACCAACCUUCUCUGCCGAUUACUGAUGAAACAGUGCCCACUGAGUGGUUGACCUUGAUAAAGAGGAUGCGACCCUCUC